ensembl:lncRNA
GAACUAGCAUGAGCGCUAUAACACGAAUAAAGUACUCCCGACACCAAGAACAGCGAACUAAUAAAUAACCGCGAAGGAUUUUGGGGAAAUUAAUACAUUUUACAGCGCAACACAUGCCAUGGAAAAAAAACACAAAUAAAAAAACAAUAAAUUUUAUUUCCUAUAUCUGUUACACGUACACAGGCGUUAUCUGGACUCCGCGCCCACCGGAAACCGAAUUCAGCAGCUCUGGGUUUUAUGACGCAAUUUUCGCUGAACGUACAGACCUACAAAAUGGAGAAAUCAGGGGGAAUAAUAACAGGACGAUGGGUCACACUGUGGAUUGUGAAGCUGAAGAGGAAAAGUGUAUCAGGUGUAAUAACGAAGAGGAAACACAAACUGCGUGGUGUGAUUCAGGAAGACACUGGAGGAUAAUCUUUUCUUCUAGCAGGUUCACAGCAGAGCGUGAGGUGGGACACCAGAGCUUCACCACCCUCCCUGGAAACAUGAUUCUCUGGUCAAGGUGGUUUUCAUUCAUGGCACAUUCAAUAACCGUUUUGUUCCUUCUCCUCUGCUCUCAGUUGGUUGUCGGUGGUGUUGUGACUUCUGCCAGAGGGAACACCAGCACAUUGUCCUGCAGAAACAUUUCUGCUGGUGAUGGUUACAAGUACCCAGUGCUGUCUUAUAUACCAUCUGCUGUACUGUGGAACAAGGACUGUGAGCAAGAGUGGUACAAUGAGGCAGGUGAGUUUUUGUCAGAUGGACAUCAUGCAAAUAAAACUAGGCACCGACUGGUUGUUGAGGAAAGCAGUGAACACAUCACACUCUCUAAAUGCGUCAAGCUUCACUAUUAUGUGACCUGUCAUGGAUCGAGUCAAAAGUGAUCAAUGACACCACCCUGAGUUUUGAGCAGCAAUCCGAUAGCAGCAGCACCACCAACACCACCAUCAUCUCUGUCGUCAUUCCCCUGAUUGUAGGCCUGCACUACAUUUUUAAAAAAAAAAAAAAAAAAAAAAAAAAAGGUAAAUAUGCAUCACCCUUACAUAGGCAGCUAAAUGAGGGAAGUUUAAAUAUUUGAAUCUGCUGUGUGAUGACUGUAACAUUAGACGUUGCACUGUGAUGUAGGGUGAAAUCAUUUGUGAAGGAGGGGGUUUUAAUGUUAAAAUGCUUUUCCUGCACGUUCACCUGUCCUGUUAAACCGCUGUAUGGUCUUGGCCAUCGUGCUGCAGCUCAGUGUCCGGUUCUUGGCAAUCUUCUUACAGCCUAGGCCAUUUUUAUGUAGAGCAACAAUACUUUUUUCAGAUCCUCAGAGUUCUUUGCCAUGACGUGCCAUGUUGAACUUCCAGUGACCAGUAUGAGGGAGUGUGAGAGCAAUGACACCAAAUUUAGCACCCAUGCUCCCCGAUUCACACCUGAGACCUUGUAACACUAACAAGUCACAUGACACCGGGGAGGGAAAAUGGCUAAUUGGGCCCAAUUUGGACAUUUUCACUUAGGGGUGUACUCACUUUUGUUGCCAGUGGUUUAGACAUUAAUGGCUGUGUGUUGAGUUAUUUUGAGGGGACAGAAAAUUUACACUGUUACACAAGCUGUACACUCACUACUUUACAUUGUAGCAAAGUGUCAUUUCUUCACUGUUGUCACAUGAAAAGAUAUAAUCAAAUAUUUACAAAAAUGUGAGGGGUGUACUCACUUUUGUGUGAUACUGUAUGUGUGUGUGUGUGUGUGUGUGUGUGUGUGUGUGUGUAUGUAUGUAGUGUGUGUAUAUCUAAAUGUGUGCAAUAUUUGUAUAUAUUUACAGUGAACCUGUUUUUACUUAUUCUUAAUUAACUGUUUUUAAACUCUCUCAUUUUAACUGUAAUGUUUAAGUGUCCUUUGUUGCUCUCUGAGAGUUGCCACACUAUAUUUCAUCGUAUUGCAUACAACAACAAAGUGUUUUACACUUAGUGUAAGAGUUAAACCUUAACUACUGGAUGUAGAUAAACAGGACUGAUUGAAACAAAUAUGGCUAUAUAGAUGUUUUUGAUGGAUAAAUAAAUAGUUAGGGCUGUCUAUUGAUUAUUUUGAUAAUUGAUUAGUGCACCAUUGCCUUCUAUUAAAUAAUCUAGUAGUUGAUAUCGUAUAGCAUCUUAAAACCUACUUAUUAAAUGUUAAAUUGUUUUUUUACCUAAUAUUCUGACUAUUUAAUGAAAAAAAAAUGUUUUUUUUGUGUAUAUACAAUUUAAAAAUCCUGAAUUGUAUCUGUAGCAUUACUGUUUUGUUUGUGUGUUUACUGUAAGGGAGACAAAGAAGAGAAAUUUAAAAUGGCAAAUUCUUAAUCUCAAUUUAAAAUGCACUUUAUUAAAUAAUUUGACUAAUUUGUAAUGGCUAAGAGCCGUUGAUGAAAACAGAAUGUAGGAUUUAAUGUUGCAAUGUUCCAAAUACAAAGUUUGUACUUAUACUGAUACUUGUUAUUGUCAGAGGUGGUUCGAGUAUCAAAAAUAGUAACUCAAGUUAAAGUACCAUUACUUAGAAAAAUACGCCAAUCUGUCCAAGUAUGUUCUUGAUUAAGAGUAUGACUGUAUCUAGUUAAAAAUUAAGGUUGCUGUUACACAGGAAGCGUCAGAUAAAACGGAUUGAAUGUAAAUGUAGACGCAUCCGAUUUUAAACUCCUUUAUUGAGAUGCGUUUGAUCAAGCAAGUGUAACUCCGAGUGAAAGCUUCUGCGUGCAGUGACAUGCCUAUUGCAUGUAGCGUUAUCACAGAGCAGGGUGUCGCAUUCAAACUUUCGUCAAGUAGUUUAACGCUGGUUAACUUAACAUAAUUAUAUCUUCAGUUUUGCUGAGCUUUAUCACCACCUUCAUCGCCAGCACCAUUUGGCGAAUAUUUGAUUUAAAUGAAAUUUUCACUGAGGAUAUUUUUUUUUAUAAUUGAGUAUUAGUGCCAGCCCUAUAAAGAGUUAAACAAUUAGAACAGGUGUAUAGAAUUUAGAUUUUCUAUUAUUAAAAUAAUUGUAUUUCUCUACUGUGUUUUGUCCGUCAGUGGUGAAGUGCUGAGCAGCCAGAGCACUCCAAGAGCAUAUGAAGAUUAAGUUUCUCCAUCCAGUUUGAUUCUGCCUUUUCUAUAAUCGUACUUGUAUAUCUGCUUUUGUACUUUCACUAUAUUUUUCUUGCAUUUUGAACAUUUUUAAAAUGUUAAAAUACUAAAUAGGUAAACAGACCUUGGAAUUAUAGGAUUCUUACCACAAGUGCCAAAUGUUUUAAUCACGUCAAAGCACACAGAACAACUUUUAUACUUCACACAUUUUAUUAUACUAUGUAGCAGUAUUUUGGUGUAAAAUAUAUUGUAUACGUUGUUGCGUCCCAGUCUAGGUUGGGCCGCACAAAGUAACCAGCUCAGGAUUCAAGUUGAUUGAUCUUUUAAAGUGUAAGUGAGGGAGCCAGGAGUAACAACAAAACAGGGUUGUUCAAAAAGUUGUAGUGUAUUAUCUCAGACAAUAUAUACAUAUAACUAUACAAAUAACCUAAAUAGGCAUAUCUUCAGGGUGGACCAAAGCCAAAAUAAUUAACAAAAGGAUCCUAUGAUUUAGGUGUCUAGCUGACCUAAAAGGAAAGAAAAGAAAAUAUAAAUAUUCUACCCUAACUACCUAAGCAAGAAACAGAGACAAAAGGGACCAUCUCCCAAAAUAAAUGACAGCCACACCCCUACAGCCACUGAACCAAAAGAGCACGAGCACACACACACACACACACACACACACACAUGUGGAGAGAAUGCACAAACAAUAUAUAUAUAGGGAUAACCAAACUCUGAGUCAAAAACCAGGCAGAAGUCAAAAUACAGAGUUAGCCACAAGGGCAAGCACACAAAUCAAGCAAUCUCCUAACACCACUACCAAACACCUCCAACACCCCACCACGUCUCACUCUGUCUUCCUCUUUAAAAAUGGCCGCCAUUCAUUGAGGUCAUCAAGGAGACGGGAGCAAGACAGACUAUGGCAGGCUUGGAAAAAAGCGUGAAAAGUAAACCGGUAUUUUAUUUUAAAAAAAAUUAAAAAGCAGAAAAAAUAUGUAUUGCUGCAUCAUUAACACUGCCUAUAGGUCAUCAAGAAGAGACUGCUAUAAUUGAGUUAGUCAAGUUUAAUUCAGUAUUUAAAAAAAAAAAAUACAGCUACAAUAUUUUUAAAAAAUCAGGCUGCCCCUUCAUUUUAUUAAAAACAUUUUUAUAGUACUGUGAAUUAAAAUGUUGCACAAAACAAUGAAGACCAAAGAACUUAUUAAAUCCUAGAGUAAUAUAAAAUACAGUAUUAAUAAUCAAAGAUUGUUAAAUUUGUUUACUUAUUGUAUGUUAUUUAUCACUUCAUGCUGCCAUUUAAAGAAUGUGUUUGUUUUAAACAACUGGCAGUUUAAGCUGACAUGACCACUCUGAGUGUAACAUUAAAGCAGGGCUGUCAAACAUGGGACUGGACUGUCCAGUGGGAAAUGACUGGCCCUAUAGAAGUAUUUGUAAUCCAACCUAGCAUAUGAAUUUAGAAACCAUAAUAUUUUAUUGGACAUUUAUUUAUUUUUAAUGAAUUGCAGAGUGCACACAAUGUAGAUUUCCACUAAAUUGGUCAAUAACCAACUUUUUCUGUCCCAUCGAACCAAGUAUAAUCUAUUCUGUAAGAUGUCCCUGAUUUAAAGCAUUAAUUUGUACUCAUGCAAUACUUUUAUUUAUUUCUUUAUUUAUUUUCUCAUUUUUUCUUUAAUGCCAUCACUUUAUUAGGGAUCUAAAUGUCUAUCAAGCUUCUCUGUGACUGUACAAUGAAAUAUCUGACCUUGCUGAGUGACUUUCUUUUAUAUACGUAGCCUGAACUGGAGAACUCUAUAUCUUGGGUGAAUGUAGCUGUUGCUGUAGAAUGAGACAAUCUGAAUAAAAAACAUCUCUUUUAAUACCACAGCACUGUUUGAUUCUGAAUUGUGAUUGGCCACAAUGUGUUGAUUGAUUUUUCUUUAAGAGCAGCUCUGGCAGUAGUGCAGCUGCAAAAUGGUUCAUGUUGUCUAGUUUGGUCUUUUCUGGAAAAAUUGCAAUAUGAUGCCAUAUUGUUACACCCUUAAACACUGUAUAUUACUUAACGUACCUUGUGCUUCUUUUGCUGUUUACUGUUUCAGAAAGUCACUAUAAAGCACAUGUCAGAAUGAUAACAUGGUCGGUACUACUGAGUGUUCAAUACAGAAAACAAUGGGAAUUUAAUGACCACUUGUACAGUGCUGCUAGAAAGUUUGUGAACCCUUUACAAAUUUCUGUAUUUCUGCAUAACUUUUACCAGAAAUGUGAUCAGAUCUUCAUCUAAGACUUAAAACUUGAUAAAGAGAACUCAAU